rnacentral:rRNA from 1 species
GAUGAACGCUGGCGGCGUGCUUAACACAUGCAAGUCGAACGGGACUUGUUAAGUUGAAACUUCGGUCGAUUCUUUUCAAGUCUAGUGGCGGACGGGUGAGUAACGCGUGGGUAACCUGCCUCACACUGGGGGAUAACAGUCAGAAAUGACUGCUAAUACCGCAUAAGCGCACAGCAUCGCAUGAUGCAGUGUGAAAAACUCCGGUGGUGUGAGAUGGACCCGCGUUGGAUUAGCUAGUUGGCAGGGCAGCGGCCUACCAAGGCGACGAUCCAUAGCCGGCCUGAGAGGGUGAACGGCCACAUUGGGACUGAGACACGGCCCAG